AGCCUCAAAGUCCUGAGUAAGAGAGCAAUUCCUUCUAAGGAAUUGCUCUCUCACUCAGGACUUUGAGGCUC